UACGUAGGGUGCGAGCGUUGUCCGGAAUUAUUGGGCGUAAAGAGCUUGUAGGCGGUCUGUCGCGUCUGCUGUGAAAAUCCGGGGCUCAACCCCGGACUUGCAGUUGAUACGGGCAGGCUAGAGUUCGGUAGGGGAGACUGGAAUUCCUGGUGUAGCGGUGAAACGCGCAGAUAUCAGGAGGAACACCGGUGGCGAAGGCGGGUCUCUGGGCCGAUACUGACGCUGAGGAGCGAAAGCGUGGGGAGCGAACAGG
rnacentral:rRNA from 1 species